rnacentral:rRNA from 1 species
CUUGUUUAAAUAUAGGAGGUCCAGCCUGCCCAGUGAUAAUUUAUUCAACGGCCGCGUAAUUUAAAGCGCGCAAAGGUAGCGUAAUCACUUGUUCUUUAAAUGAGGACUCGAAUCAACGGCACCACGAGGGCUAUACUGUCUCCUUCCCCCAAUCAGUGAAACUAAUCCCCCUGUGAAAAAGCAGGGAUAUCCCUAUAAGACGAGAAGACCCCAUGGAGCUUUAAACAUAACAACAUCUUUAAAAUUUCAUACACCCACCUUAUUAACAUGAAAGCAUUGUGCGUUAGUUUUAGGUUGGGGCGACCGCGGAGUAUAAGAAAACCUCCACAACGAAAGGGAAUAAGCCCUUACUUGAGAAAAACAUUUCUACAAAUUAUUAAUAUAACGUUUAAUGACCCGAUUAUCGAUUAACGAACCA